GAGCGGAUGAGAGGAGCUUGCUCCUCGAUUCAGCGGCGGACGGGUGAGUAAUGCCUAGGAAUCUGCCUGGUAGUGGGGGACAACGUCUCGAAAGGGACGCUAAUACCGCAUACGUCCUACGGGAGAAAGUGGGGGAUCUUCGGACCUCACGCUAUCAGAUGAGCCUAGGUCGGAUUAGCUAGUUGGUGAGGUAAUGGCUCACCAAGGCGACGAUCCGUAACUGGUCUGAGAGGAUGAUCAGUCACACUGGAACUGAGACACGGUCCAGACUCCUACGGGAGGCAGCAGUGGGGAAUAUUGGACAAUGGGCGAAAGCCUGAUCCAGCCAUGCCGCGUGUGUGAAGAAGGUCUUCGGAUUGUAAAGCACUUUAAGUUGGGAGGAAGGGUUGUAGAUUAAUACUCUGCAAUUUUGACGUUACCGACAGAAUAAGCACCGGCUAACUCUGUG
rnacentral:rRNA from 1 species